ensembl:lncRNA FAM225B family with sequence similarity 225 member B
GCCUGGCGCUGAGCCCAACCGCCGCCUCCAACGGGACUGGACCAGACCGGGUGGGACCGGACCGCGGUUUGAGUCCAAGCCCAGCGGUGUUUGCGGCGGGUCCGGGGCCUGGAAGCGCGGGGGCGGCGCCGAGAACGAAACUGGAAAAUGGCCUUCAUUGGAAAAGCCCCAGUCCUCGGGGAGCAGAUCCCCCAUCUCUGGCAGUGCAGUGUGCCUGGGAGCUGUCUGGAACAUUCCGCAACGGUCACUCCUCUGCCCUGCAUUGGCCUUGACCACAUGACCCAGAGGUGCAGGGAGAAGCCUCCCUUGGAUGCUUGGAGUGACUUCAGCUGCUGAGAGUGUCUAAGGAGAGCCGGGAACACCGCACGCUUCCUGCAGAUGGCGGGGCAGACCUGUGUGCAAGAGUGCCUGAAGGGGAUCUCCCGUGGCGCUACCUGGUCCAGGGAGGUCACAGAGAGCUCCUCCACCCUGAGCACAGGGGGUCCCACCAAGGACAAGGACAAGAUUCAGCACCGUCGCACACAGAACAGCUACCUGGAGCCACAGGUCACUUUCCAAAAAGGGAGUUUCCAGGCCAGAAGCCAUCCCUGCAGCAUUGUCUUUGUGCUCCAAGAGAAGCCCUGGCACACACUUCUGCUCAGAUGGAACCACUGUUCCCUCAGUGUCCUUGUCAGUACCAGCUGGUGACUUUCCUACUCAAACCCUUCCCUCACUCUCUGCCUCAUUUUCUCAAGGUGCCGUGUUUGCCUGAAAGGACAUUGGCAGCCAGCAGGGGCGGCGGCUGGUCCUCUAGAUGGGCACGAAUGCCAUUGGCAGGCAAUGGGGCAGACUCCAUGGAAAGAUGCUUCUCUUCCUCAAGGCCCAGAUCAGCUUUGCACAUGGUGCUGACCUCAAAUUCAGCCCUAGAGGGGCCUGUCUCUGCCCUGAGUAGAGCACAUUCACUAUAUCUCCAAAGAAGAUGUUAGGAGCCAGCCAAAGUAUUAUCUAGUAAUGCAUCCACAUCAGUGUUCUGGAACGUGGGGUUGGUCAUGUGUACUCUUCCCCAUAGUGGCUGGAUGUGGCUCUGUGUAUAUUGUGGAGACAAGGUAAUGAUGAUAAAGACCCCCACUCAGAUAGGGAUAAAUAGGAAACACACAGCAAUUUUUAUUGCCUACUGGGUGAGCAUUAUAAAAUGUGAAUAUUUUCCUCAAUGAAAAGUAAGAAGAGAACUAGGUUCUCAUGAAAAAGUGGCAAAAUGGUUUUUACAAACUCUGGCGACUCAUAUAUUUUAAAGUUGCCUAAUCAACUGAAAUGUAUGUAUGUAAGCAUGGGUAUAUUCACUAAAGCCUAGAACUAAUGAUGACCUUAGCAGCAAAGGAAUAAAAAUAUGUUCAAUAA